GAUGAACGCUGGCUACAGGCUUAACACAUGCAAGUCGAGGGGAAACGACGGGGAAGCUUGCUUCCCCGGGCGUCGACCGGCGCACGGGUGAGUAACGCGUAUCCAACCUGCCUCUGACUGAGGGAUAACCCGUCGAAAGUCGGCCUAAUACCUCAUGGCAUCGUCUGCGGGCAUCCAACGACGAUUAAAGAUUUCAUCGGUCAGGGAUGGGGAUGCGUCUGAUUAGCUUGUUGGCGGGGUAACGGCCCACCAAGGCUACGAUCAGUAGGGGUUCUGAGAGGAAGGUCCCCCACAUUGGAACUGAGUCACGGUCCAAACUCCUACGGGAGGCAGCAGUGAGGAAUAUUGGUCAAUGGGCGGGAGCCUGAACCAGCCAAGUAGCGUGCAGGAUGACGGCCCUAUGGGUUGUAAACUGCUUUUAUGCGGGGAUAAAGUGAGGGACGUGUCCUUCAUUGCAGGUACCGCAUGAAUAAGGACCGGCUAAUUCCGUG
rnacentral:rRNA from 1 species